rnacentral:ncRNA from 2 species
AAUGCAUCGAGAGUAGUGGAGGGACAGGCCCAAAGAAGCUCAGCAACCGCCUUUAAAGGGAAAGGUGCUAAUUCCUGCCAGGAGUUUUCUGGGAGAUGUAUA